rnacentral:lncRNA from 1 species
GGCCUUUGGAGAGCUGUCAGUUCCGGAACCACAAGUCUAACAGGUUUAUUAGGAUCACACUGGUGACUGAGUUAAGACCAGGCUGUAUGGGGCAAAUACAAAGGAAGAGCCUCCAAGAAGUAAUCUGGGUGAGAGAAGACUGAGAGUUGCAGCAGGCUGGUCACAGGGCAGAUGAUGAGAAAUUGCUGGAUCCAGGAUGUAUUUGGGAGGCUCUGUGUUAGUGGAUUCACAAGCAACCUGUACUCCUCAAAGAAAGAUGAUAAGAUGAAGGAGAUCUCUAGAACCAGCAACUGGGGCUCUUCCUUCAGUGAAAAAAGUGGGUGUAUGCAGACUCAUCCAUCCAUGAAUCUAGAUUGCAGGGAUGUGACCUAUGUAAUGAACUUGCUACUUAUUGCUCAUCAUCAUCUUCUUCAAUGACAAAAAAGAAAAUAGUAACAAUGAAUACGUCUCUUGGGCAAAAUAAAUAAUGAGAUUGUUACAGUAUUGCAGCAGAGCGAUGUCAGGAAGCUCAUCCAGAGGUCUGGAUGCUACCAAUGGACUUCAGAGACCACUUGACUUCUCCUAGAGUCAGAAACUAAGCUGGACCCUGAUUUCUGUGGAGGAGCCGGAGAGUGAGAGUUAAGUCUGCUAGAUGAUGACAGAUGGGACCAGGCUGGGGCAAGACACUGGAGACAGAGAUGGAACGAAGAUAAGCCAACUUUCCAGACCAAACUCCUCUCACUCAGGCCAUGGGAAAAUUCCAGGGUACAUGUGCAGGAUGUGCAGGAUGUGCAGGUUUGUUACACAGGUAAACGUGUGCCAUGGUGGUUUGCUGCACCUAUCACCAAUACUUUCUUGAUGGGUUUCCACAUGAGAAUCAGUCCUUAAGCAUGGAAAAUGUGUCUGAUUUUCUUAUUUGGUUGUAAAGAGACAAGACAAGGUAGUUUGGGGUUCUUUGUUUUUAAUUUUUAUUGACACAUAAUAACUAUGUAUUUUUGGGGAACAUAGUGAUAUUUCAAUACCACGUAUUGUGAUCAGAUCAGAGUAUGCUAAUAGCAUAUCCAUUAUGUCAAACAUUUAUCAUCUCUUUGUGCUGGGAACAUUCAAUAUCCCCUCUUCCAGCUAUUUGAAAAUAUAUAUUAUUAACUAUAGCAAUCCUACAUUGCUAUAAAACACUACAAUGUAUCCUUCCUAUCUAGCUGUAAUUUUGUAUCCUUUAACAUAUCUCCCUCUAUCCCCUAUUCUCCCUACACUUCCCAACCUCUGGAAACCUCAGUUCUACUAUUUCUCUUAUGAAAUCAACAUUUUUAGCUUCCACAUAUGAAUAAGAACAUGCCAUAAUUGCCUUUCUGUCCUUGGCUUAUUUCACUUAAAAUAAUGGCCUCCAGUUCCAUCCAUGCUGCUUCAAAGUACAGGAUUUCAUUCUUUUUAUGACUGAAUAGUAUUUCAUUGUGUAUAUGUACCACAUUUUCUUUAUCCCUUCAUCUGUUGUUGGACAUGGGUUGAUUUAAUGUCUUGGCUAUUGUGAAAACUGCUGCAAUAAGCAUGAGGCUGCAGACAUCUCUUCAAUAUACUGUUUUCCUUUCCUUUGAAUAAAUAUCCACUAGUGGGAUUGCUAGAUCAUACAGCAGUUAUAUUUGUAGUUUUGAGGAAUUUCUAUACUGUUCUUCAUAGAGGCUGCACUCUUGUAGUUAGGGUUCUCACUGCAGCAAAUCUAAGCCGAAUCCAAUCCCUGCUAUCCAUUGUCUCAUAAACUUGAAGAAGUUAGUUUUCAGCCUCAUUGUACUAAGAGGUUGUUACUUAUCUCAUAAGUUUUAUUUUUUUGUCAUUUAGUGAGAUAACAAUGUAAAAUGCCUAAAAAAAAUCCCUGGCACAUAGAAUGUAUCCCAAUAUGGUAGCAAUUGCAAUUUAGUAUUUUGUACAGUACUCUACAGUUUUCAAAAUAUUUAUGUUAUAUAUUGCAUCACUUACUCUUUACUGUUAGAAGGAUGUGAGACCAUUUUACAGGUGGGAAAUAUGAAACUCUGGUAAUUGAUAAUUUAUACAGCUCUUAAAUGAAAUUACUUAGACCUAUACUUCCAAAUCUUUUUUCCACUAUGCAAUUCUGCUUCCCUAGAACAUGGGAAAGGAAGAUGAGAAUCCUUGAAAAUGACACCAUGUUUUUAUAUGUGCUUCUCUGUGUGCUAUACACUAGUUUUACACUUUAAUACAUAUCAAAUUUAAUGAAUAUCAAAUAAUUUACAUUAUUUAAAAAUAUUGUAAGACCAAAUUUGAUCAUCUUUCUCAUAAUAAUUGUCAUUUUUAUGAGUUUGCUUAACAGCUUUAUUGAAGUACACAUUACAUGCCAUAAAAUUCACCUAUUUUUCAGGGUAAAAUUCAAUAAUUAUUAGUAACUUCAUGUAGUUGUGCAACCAUUACCACUAUUCAGAUUUAGAACAUUUCCAUCACUCUAAAGAGAAACCUUGUGUCUGUUUGCAUUCAGUUUACAGUUCCUCCUUAUGCCCCAAGGCCACUGCUAGUCCAUUUUCUGUCUGUGGAGGCUUACCUUUUCUGAAACUUUCAUAUAAAUAGACCAUAUAAUAUGCAGUCUUUUGUGUCUGUCUUUUUCCACUUAGAAUGUUUUUGAGGUUAUCCACUUUGUCCCUCUUAUCAAUGGUUUGUUCCUUUUUAUUGCUGAAUAAUAUUUGAUCAUAUGGCUAUAUCACAUUUUGUUUAUCCAUUCACCAGUUGAUAGACAUUUUCAUUGUUCUUAUGUUUGAGCUCUUACUAAUAAUGUUAUUACGAAAAUUCACAUGCAGGUCUAUGUGACAAAUGUUUUUAUUUAUUUUGAGUAUAUACUUAAGGGUAGAAUUUCUGGGUCAUAUGGUAAGUAUAUGUUUAACUUUUUAAGAAACUGUCAAAUUGUUUUUCAAAGUGGCUGUACUAUCUUACAUUUCCAGCAUUGUAUGAAGAUUUCCAUUCUCUGCAUCCUCAUCAACACUCAUUAUUGUCUGUCUUUUUGAUCAUAGACAUUGUAGUGGAUAUGCAGCAUUAUCCUAUUGUGGUUUUGAUUUGUAUUUCCCUAUUGAUUAAUGAUGCUGAGCAUCUUUUCAUGAGCUAUUUGGCCAUUGUUUAUCUUAUUUGAUAAAAUAUAUCUUCAAAUAUUUUGCCAUUGUAUUGGAUUGUUUGUCUUAUUAUUGAAUUAUAUGACCUCCUUAUAUAUUGUAAAUAAAAGUCCUUCAGCAAGUAGGAUUUGCAAAUAUUUUCUCCAAGUCUGUGACUUGUAUAUUCCUCUUAAUAUUUUUUUGCAGUAAAAAUUAUUUUAAUUUUGAUAAAGUCCAAUUUAAUACUUUUUUCUUAUAUGGAUUAUGCUUUUGAUAUUAUAUCUAAGAACACUUUGUUCAACCUAACAUCAUUUCCCCAAAAGUUCUCUUUUAGAAGUUUAAUAGUUUUACCUCUUGCAUUUAGAUCUAUGAUUAAUUAGACCUAUGAUUAAUUAAUCUAUGAUUACUUAAUUAGGGUUAAUUUUUGUGAGUGGUAUAGGAUAAGGGUGAAAAUUCAUUAUUUCAUUUCUCAGAAACAUGGCUGAAAAGAUUAUCUUUCUGCAGUUGAAUUGCUUUGGUACCUUUCUCAAAAUUCAAUUAGCCAUAAAAGUAAAAAUUAAUUUUUGUACUCUCAGUUUUUUUCCAUUGGUUAUCCUCAAACAACUGUCACGCUGUAUUGUGUUCUGUAAGUUAUAUAAGUUGAAAUCAAGAUGUUUAAGUCCUCUAUCUUGUUCUGUUACAAAUUUAUUUUGGCUUUUCUUAUUUCUUUGUAUUUUCAUAUAAUCUUUAGGUUCAGUUUGUCAACUGUUAUUUUUUCUAAAAAAAUUUAAAAAUCUGCUGAAAUUUUGACAGAAAAUGUGUUGAAUCCAUACACCAAAACUUAAGAACUGCUUUCUAAACAAUAUUGAGUCGUCAGAUCUGUGAACAUAAACUAUUUCUCCAUUUAUUUAGAUCUUUGAUUUAUUUCAGUAAUUUUUGUAUUUUUCAUUGCAUAAGUUUAGCAUUUCAUUUGUUAUAUACACCUUACCCUGAAGUCAUAGAAAUAAUUUCUUAUUUGUUAAAUGUUCUAAAGUUAUGCUAUUCACAUUUAGAUUGUUAAUUCUUCUGGAAUUAGGUAGGGAAUAAUUUUAUUUUGAUUAUUAAUUCAUCUGGAAUUAGGUAGGAAAUUAUUUUAUUUUAUUUUUUGCCUAAGAAUAGUCAAUUGACUUAACACUGUUUACAGAAGAACAAAUUAUUUUCACACUAAUUGUAAACACCACAUUUCUCAUAUAGCAAUUUCUCAUAUAUAAAUGUGUCUGUUUCUGAGCUCUAAAGUUGAUGCUAUUGUUAGUUUGUCUACCCCUCAGUUAAUUAAACAUUAUUUUAAUUACCAUAGCCUUAUAUAAAUUAUUAAUAGUCUGCCAAGCAAUUGUCUCUUAUAUUAUUAUUCAAACUUUUCUUGGCUAGUCUUAGCCUUAAAAUCUUUCAUACAAUCAUUUGGAACAACUUGUCAGGUCACACACACAUGCAAGCACAAGCGGCACACACACACAUGCCACACACACACAGACAUACAUGUACACAUGCAUGCACACACGCAGACUCAUACAUAUUGUUGAGAUUGUUAUUAAAAUUGCACUUAUUACUAUAGAUUAAUUGGUGAUUUCGUACAAUAAUUUGGGAGAAAUUAACAUUGCAUUUUUAUGUCUUUCGACGUGAUAAAUCUCCUGAUACUCAAAUGUUCUGUUGUGUACUUCAACAAGUUUAAUAAUUUUGUUCUUAUUUAAAAUUCAUGUAAAUCUUUUUCUGGACUUAUUUCUUCAUAUUGUAUAGCUGAUGUUACUAUCAUAAAUUGCAUCUUUAAGACAUUUAUGUUUUCUAAUAAAUUGC